rnacentral:SRP_RNA from 1 species
CGCGGGAGGCCGGUGGACAUUCCGCCCGCCAAUCCGGUCAGGUCCGAAAGGAAGCAGCCGUAACGGGUUUCGAAUGGGUCAUUCGGUUCUCCCACCUUC